rnacentral:rRNA from 1 species
GACGAACGCUGGCGGCGUGCCUGACACAUGCAAGUCGGACGGUUCUUGUACCUUCAAGCUUGCUUGUUGGUGCAAGGAUAGUGGCGGACGGGUGAGUAACGCGUGAACAUCUACCCAUUGGAGGGGGACGAACCCGUCGAAAGGCGGGCGUAAUACCGCGUAAGCCGCGAGGUGAGAGGCUGCCUAUUGGUGGCCGCCGAUGGAUGGGUUCGCGUCCUAUCAGCUGGUUGGUGGGGUAACGGCCUACCAAGGCGAAGACGGGUAGCCGGUCUGAGAGGAUGGCCGGCCGACACUGGAACUGAGACACGGUCCAGACUCCUACGGGAGGCAGCAGUGGGGAAUAUUGGGCAAUGGGCGAAAGCCUGACCCAGCAACGCCGCGUGAAGGAAGAAGGCUUUCGGUUGUAAACUUCUUUUGGCAGGGACGAAGAAAGUGACGGUACCUGCAGAAUAAGCUCCGGCUAACUACGCG